rnacentral:tRNA from 1 species
GGGCGUAUAGCUCAGUUGGCAGAGCAGCUGACUCUUAAUCAGCGGGUCCGGGGUUCGAGUCCCCGUGCGCCUACCA